UACAGAGGUCUCAAGCGUUGUUCGGAUUCAUUGGGCGUAAAGGGUGCGUAGGUGGCGCCGUAAGUCAGGUGUGAAAUUUCGGAGCUUAACUCCGAAACUGCAUUUGAUACUGCGGUGCUUGAGGACUGGAGAGGAGACUGGAAUUCACGGUGUAGCAGUGAAAUGCGUAGAUAUCGUGAGGAAGACCAGUGGCGAAGGCGGGGUCUCUGGACAGUUCCUGACACUGAGGCACGAAGGCUAGGGGAGCAAACGGG
rnacentral:rRNA from 1 species